rnacentral:rRNA from 1 species
AACGAACGCUGGCGGCAUGCCUAACACAUGCAAGUCGAACGAGACCUUCGGGUCUAGUGGCGCACGGGUGCGUAACGCGUGGGAAUCUGCCCCUUGGUUCGGAAUAACAGUUAGAAAUGACUGCUAAUACCGGAUGAUGACGAAAGUCCAAAGAUUUAUCGCCGAGGGAUGAGCCCGCGUAGGAUUAGCUAGUUGGUGAGGUAAAGGCUCACCAAGGCGACGAUCCUUAGCUGGUCUGAGAGGAUGAUCAGCCACACUGGGACUGAGACACGGCCCAGACUCCUACGGGAGGCAGCAGUGGGGAAUAUUGGACAAUGGGCGAAAGCCUGAUCCAGCAAUGCCGCGUGAGUGAUGAAGGCCUUAGGGUCGUAAAGCUCUUUUACCAGGGAUGAUAAUGACAGUACCUGGAGAAUAAGCUCCGGCUAAACUCCGUGCCAGCAGCCGCGGUAAGAGUGUGUGUA